AUAUCUAUUUUCUAUGUGCAAUUAACCUUAAUUUCCAUUUCUUUUCUCUUUUCAAAAUAUUGAGAAUCACCACCCACAGACGUUCCCAUUCCAGAGAUGGCUACCGUUUCAUUGGCCAAUCGAGUGGCUUCCGUUACUCUUUCAAUUCCAUCCUAUUCAAAGCCUGCAUCCUCUCUCCAUUUUCCUUGCUCCAGAACCUUCUCUUCCCUGUCUCAAAGGUUCCAACUUUCCUAUCCCUCUACCCAGAGCCCGUUAGUUUGGGGUCGGUAGGGUGUCAAGGUUUCUGUGAGGGCUUCGACUGGCGUCAAUUUCAUUUCUGUAGCAGCUGCCUUGCUCUCCCCUUGAUUGGGACACAGAGAUGAUGGUACCAUAGACGUCUUACUGGUAACUAGAACCUUCGUUUGCACACCACGACACCCUCCUUCCUCUGUUUUGGUCUCUGGUGUGUUCAAUGCGCGUUUCCUCUAAAUUCUAUCUCUCCAUCAUCUUCUUCUUCUCUCUGUGAAUUUGAUCAUUUUCCAUAGCUAAGAGGAUCAAUUUUAUGGAGGAUCAAGAUUCAGGUGUGGAGGCGAAGGUUCUGUGUUGUGCUGAUGAGGCGGCGCUAUGUUGGAAAUGUGAUAAGAAGGUUCACGCUGCUAAUAAACUCUCUAGAAAGCACCAGAGAGUUCCUCUUUCUCUCUCUUCCUCUCAUAUGCCUAAAUGUCAGGUUGUAAAGAGAGGUUAUGCUUUCUCCUUUUGUUCAUCUGCUCUCCUUCCCCUUCACAACUCCCCAUUUCGAUUACUGAUUUUUUUUGUUACAUCUGAAACAGUUUCACCACCAUUUCUUUCCAUCUGCGACUACAAGAUCAAGCGCAAAGUUGUUCAUCAGAAGGUGGCUAUCAUAGAUGGGUUAACCAUUUGCAGGUUUGUGAGUGUGUAAAUUAUAAGUUAAUGAUUGUUGCUAAUUUUAUAAUGAGAACCAUUAACAAUUGGUGGUCUUUUAAAUCUGGGUACUUUUAUUGAUAUAUUAGUUUGAAAUUUUGGUAGGUUUUAUCACUAAUUUUAAUUUUGAAUAUUUCCACUUAGCUUCUCUUACUUUGUCUCUGAUCUAAAGGAAUGGAUUAAACAGAUUAGACCUGUGUCAUAUUUCCUACCUUUUAUUUAUGAUGGUCCGCUAAAUGUCUCAGGUUUAUAUGGAUAUGAGUCCGGCAACAGAUUAAUUUCCUACCUCCAUGACAUAAUUUUUUUUUGGUUGGAAUCUUUUGGUGGCAUUUUAGAUACAUAGGUGGUUUCAAGUUAUAGAUGGUUUAACCCCUGAUUCAUCAACAUAUUAUGAAAAGGUCUGCAAGCAACAUUAUCUUCUACAAUGGUUUAAGAGACCCUUGGAGAGGAUGUUGAAGAAUAUGUCAAAAACUUUAGUCGCUAUAGUUGCAAAAGAAGAGAUUCAUCAUACAAAUCUAAGGUACUCAACUAAGGAAGAUCCAAAGUGACUCAAAGAUGCAAGGAAAAAAAGGUCCAAAUCAUAGCAAGUUGGAUCUCACAGUACUAUCAAGAUUGACAUUCCUAUAAUAAGAUGCAUUGGUAUUAAAGGAAAUGCAGAAUGGUUGGUAGAAGUCAUGUAGUGUCUACCAUUCCUGUUGUGAAAACCCAUGAAGGUACUACAAACAAGUUAUUAUCCAUUGAGUGGUUGGAAGGAAAGGAUCAUUUUUCAAGAAUUUCAAGAGCAGGCAUUGAAGGGAUACAGUCACGGGUAAAUUUCAAGAAUUUCAUCUUAUUAAUCAAUCAAUACAUAUAUUAAAAGAGCAAGGGUUAUGAGAACCCAAUGCUGAGGUGUCAUCACCUGGUGCAUUUUGCUCUCACAUUCAAUCUCAGAGUUAGUGGAAUCCACGUAUAUUAGAAACUAAGUGAGGACUAUUGACCUUAAUUUACCAUGUUUUUGGCUUCAUUUGGUUCUCUGGAACAGUUUAUCUUGAAAAUUAAGUGAGGUUCCAGGCUAAUGUCUUUUUUUUUCUUUUUUACUUCUAUUCUACCAAGGAUCAUUUGGAAUAAUUCUUUUAUUAUCCCCUCUUUGUGAUUGAAGAAAGAUCUAGGUGCAGUUUAUUGUUAUUGAAAUUUCUAAUCUGCAUUGUAGGAUUUCCUUUAGAUUGAUCAUCUACAAGAAGUUAGCUGUUAAUUUUCUUCUCUGCUGCAUUCAGAUUUUGUUAUUGAAAUCUGAAUAUGUAUUGCAAUAUUUCCUUUGGAUUGAUCAUGUGCAAGAAGUAAGUUGUUCAAUUGAUUACACUAAUCUUGAUUUUUUCUGUGGCUUUGAAUGCAGAGACUGCGGGAGCAGUUCUAUUUGGAUAAGUGAAAACUUAGUUUAGAUGGCAUUGUUUUUUUUAAAUGUGUUGCCAUUCAAAAUCAAUUUCAACCAUAGUUAACUGAUAUAGCUUUCAAUUUGGGUCUUAUCUUGAGGAGUUUUCUGGGUCAUGCCUUCUUUUCUAAUGCCCUAUAUCUGCGGGAGAUAUUGUCUUGAAAAAUGAGUUCAAUACAUGUGUUUUUAAUUUGAAGAAUGAGUUUAUAUUGUUUUAGUUGUUUUGUUGUUUAGCUGUUCAUGUAUGUGUUAGAGUGGUGUCCCUAAUAUAUGCCCACGCAAUGUCUUCAUUGUACAUCCUACCUUCAUAAAGUCUCUAUAUUGUUUAGUUAUGGACUCCCAAUAAAAUAGCAUGAAUUCAAAGCUUAAUAUUGCUUUUUUCUCUCUUUGGUCCCUAUAACCCUGUUUGUUUCUAAUUUUAAAGAGAUGAUUCCUGAUCUUUUGCUGAGAAAUUCUCUGUUAGUACCAACAAGUUUAAUUGUGCAGGACAACAAAGAGAAAAUAAUGGAUUCAUUCACCAGAAUCAAUCCUUCUACAUGGAGCUUUCACUAAGACUUUCACCAUAAGCUUCACAAAUAGAGUUCAUGUUUAUUUUUCUGCUUUGUUUUGUUUCUGUUAAAAUGGUGAUAUGUGAUUUCAAUUUUUUCUUUACCUUUUGUUCAGCAUCAAAGAUAUUUGGCUGUUGGAGAAGACUUCCAUUGUCAAUCUACAUUGUGAAGAUUUAGCAUCUAAAUAAUAUACCGAAAAAUCUACUUCAAGCAAUGGCAAUGAGGAUGUCCAUGUCUACUUUUACCUUCAUGUUCUUCUUAUUAUUAUUUUAGACAACAUUUGAAACAGAAACUGGGUGAUGUUUUUAGGUGCUAUAUCAUGGGCCAAUUCCCCUCACAAUAAUUUUAUGUUUGCGCAGAAAAAUUACUAUCCUUUUAUUUUGUUAUUUAAGUAAUUUAGUAUGGAAAUAUGGAUGUGUCAUUUGAAUGAAA